rnacentral:rRNA from 1 species
AUGAACGCUAGCGACAGGCUAACACAUGCAAGUCGAGGGGUAACAGGGUAGCAAUACCGCUGACGACCGGCGCACGGGUGAGUAACGCGUAUGCAACCUGCCUAUAAACUGGGGGAAUAGCUCCCUGAAAGGGGGAAUUAACACCGCAUAACACUAUUGAUUCGCAUGGAUUAGUAGUUAAAUGUAGCGAUACAGGUUAUAGAUGGGCAUGCGUGACAUUAGCUAGUUGGUGAGGUAACGGCUCACCAAGGCUACGAUGUCUAGGGGUUCUGAGAGGAAGGUCCCCCCACACUGGUACUGAGACACGGACCAGACUCCUACGGGAGGCAGCAGUGAGGAAUAUUGGUCAAUGGGCGCAAGCCUGAACCAGCCAUGUCGCGUGCAGGAAGAACCUGCCCUAUGGGUUGUAAACUGCUUUUAUAGUAGAAGAAACACAUCUACGCGUAGAUGUCUGCCAGUAUACUAUGAAUAAGCAUCGGCUAACUCCGUGCCAGCCGCCGC